rnacentral:rRNA from 1 species
GGGGAAAGAUUUUCGGCAAAGGAUCGGCCCGCGUUGGAUUAGGUAGUUGGUGGGGUAAUGGCCUACCAAGCCGACGAUCCAUAGCUGGUUUGAGAGGAUGAUCANCCACACUGGGACUGAGACACGGCCCAGACUCCUACGGGAGGCAGCAGUGGGGAAUCUUANACAAUGGGGGCAACCCUGAUCUANCCAUGCCGCGUGAGUGAUGAAGGCCUUAGGGUUGUAAAGCUCUUUCAGCUGGGAAGAUAAUGACGGUACCAGCANAAGAAGCCCCGGCUAACUCCGUGCCAGCAGCCGCGGUAAUACGGAGGGGGCUAGCGUUNUUCGGAAUUACUGGGCGUAAAGCGCACGUAGGCGGAUUGAAAAGUUGGGGGUGAAAUC